UACGAAGGGGCUAGCGUUGCUCGGAAUCACUGGGCGUAAAGGGUGCGUAGGCGGGCCUUUAAGUCAGGGUGAAAUCCUGGAGCUCAACUCCAGAACUGCCUUUGAUACUGAAGAUCUUGAGUUCGGAGAGGUGAGUGGAACUGCGAGUGUAGAGGUGAAAUUCGUAGAUAUUCGCAAGAACACCAGUGGCGAAGGCGGCUCACUGGCCCGGUACUGACGCUGAGGAGCGAAAGCUAGGGAGCAAACAGGG
rnacentral:rRNA from 1 species